rnacentral:lncRNA from 1 species
CUCAAAAUAGUAAAAUAUAUAAUAUAGUCAAAAUGUGGUUCAAACACAGCAAGUACACGAGCAACUAAUGAAUAGGUACAAGUCUGAAUACAUGAUCAAUGGUGUCUGAAAUAAUAAAAUAGAUAGCAAAUGGUAAAAAGACAUGGACUCGGGAUGUGCGAAAUGAAUCCAUAGAGUGCAGCUCACCCUGAGCCUUCGAGUGACUGCCUAAGCUUAAUGAGAGGCUCUGCUACUAACCACCUGAUGAUCUACAAAAAGAUGUGCAAAAGUGUAGUAUGAGUGCAUCGCAAUCGAUACUCAAUAGGUAUCAAGUCUAACCUCGAAGAAAUAGGAGUAAGGCUAUAUGUAUCAGGAUGCUUUCAACACAGAUAUAAAUAAUAGAGCUAGAGCCAUAUAGUAAAUAAUCUCAUGAAUUACAAGUAUCAAAGAUUUCAACAAUCAAAGAGUAUAAAACAUGUUUUUCUAGUACAAAAGAUAAUCAUAACGUUGUUCAGAUAUAGUAUUUAAACAUAGCAUGUUUCAUUCAAUGGAGUUGAGACUCCUAACUAGCAUAUAGAGAUGUCAUGCAACAAUAAGCACCUAAAUGAAUACUUCUGAAUGUGUAAAAGACACAUAUGCAUACUAAAAUUAGUACACGAUCCAUGUAUCAUAAUACACAAUCCAUGUAUCACCAUAACCCGAUACAAAAUCCAUGUAUGGACCAGAUACACCAUCCAUAUAUCAACCACGCUCACAAGGCCAAAAGUAACAUGGUUAAUCACCUGACUCCGGAGAGACGAAUCAUAAUCCAAGCGUAAAAAUGAUCUUGAUAAAUCAUCAUAAAAAUAUUCGUUUAUCAUGUCAUGUGUGCUAUAAUUGUAUUCUCUCCGCACGAUCCUACCUUUCGUGCCACAAUCUCAGUCCAACGCAAGUAUCCAAUAUAGUACGUAUACAUAUGUCCAAGAAUUAUACAUAACAGAUGCACAAGGACUUAAUAAUAAUCAUAUAUGAAUAAUUUAUAUAUAGUACAUAUCCCUUCAUAAUACGUAUGCUAUGUCCAAGAAUUAUAUAUAUGUACUCGUGGAAUUUCUAUAGGACCACACACGAUUCAAAUAAUUUGCCAGAUCAAGAAUAACCUUCCAUGUAUUCAAAUAUAAUCAUAAACCUACGCAUGAUCUCUAAAACAAAUAAGAAAGCAAUGUAGUCAUAUAAGCCAACAAAUCAUGAAUCAAGAUGAGCACAUAAUCAAAACAAGGCAUAAAUAUCACAAUUCUACUAUAGACAUAAUAUAAACAUGUUACGUGCAUAUGUGCCCACCCAGCAUACACACUACUGCCAAUACCUUAAGCACAUAGCAAUCAAGACAAAUCCUAGGGGUUUCACUCUUAAUAAGGUUAGCUAAGAGACUUACCUCCGCCCGUAACCUAGAAAUCACCAAAAAUGCCAAUUAGUCAAAAAUCCAACUCCAAACUGCUCGAAUCUAGUCAAAUACAACCCAAUAACCUCAUAAAAGCCAUAAAAAUCAAUCUCAUAUAAUAAAAUUCAAAUCUUUAAUCAAAUACACAAAGUCAACCAAAAAUUUAACCCAGGCCUACUCCCAGGAAACCGAUAAAACUCACAAAUCCUAACUAUUCAUUCUAAUACGAGUCCAAAUUUAUUAGUUUCAUCCAAAAUCAAUUCCAAACCGGGAUUCAAAUCUCAUAUAUUCACUUUCCAAUCUAGCACAACCCCCCCCCCCCCUCCCCCGCCCAAAUUCCACUUUAAAAUCCAUGGCUUUAGGUGUAGAAAUCCAUAGAAAAACAGGAUAUAAAGUCAAAUCCAUGUGUAAAUUCCUUUUCUCCAAUUGAGUGGUAAAAUUUCUCUUCAAAAUCUUCCACUCUUGAUGUCUAGGGACCAAAAUAAAAUAAAAAGUGGGUAAAAAUCCCAAAAUCACAACUUAAUUAUUCUGCCUAGUGAUAUGUAUCACGAUCGCGACAUACCCUUCGCAAUCGCAAAGAUCAAAAAUCUUCCCGGCUGAAAUUCCACUUAGAAAGUGCAAAGUACCUCACGUGAAAGCAAUGAACCCACAAGCCAAGCCUACAAGAACACGACCCAUGGCCUGCGAACGCGAAUGCAACCAAUUUGCCUGAUGCCCAACCUUUGUAAACGUGGCCCCCUACACACGAAUGCGAAGCACCAAUACUCACCCCUCCAUGAAAGUGAAUCUAGUCACGCAAAUGCGAAGAGUAAAUCUUCGCUUACCAACUCCUCUAUUCCACGAUCACAAGACAAGCUCUACGAUCACGAAUGAAAACCACCCUAAAUCACAUCCGAGUCCUCCAGGACCCUGUCCAAUCAUGCCAACAAGUUUCAAUACCUAAUACAAACUUAUCCAAGGGCUUGAAACACAAUGAAUAACAUCAAAAUUAAUAAUAGUUAAUCAAAAUCCUUCUCAUAUGUUUCAAACAUUCAAACUUCUAACUAAACGUCUGAUUCAACUUCAUCCAAACUUUGCACACAAGUUUCAAAUGAAAUAACAAACCUAUUUCAAGUUCCGGAACAACAAUCCAAAUAUGAUACCAUCAAAGUCAACUCCCAGUCAAACUUAGGAACUCUCCAUACCUACAAGUUGCUAACUUUCGACAAAUAGAGCCCAAAUAUCAUAGGAACCUCUAAAUACAAAUAUGAACAUAUUCCUAAGUCCAAAAUUACCCUACAAACCUAUUGGAACUAUCCAAAUAUAGAUCCGAGAUCAUUUAUAUAAAAGUCAAACUUUGAUUAACUCUUACAACUUAAGCCUCCAAAAAUGAAACUAAGUAUUGCAAUUCACUCUCUAACCUUCCCUAAGCCAAACCAACCAUCCCUGCAAGUUACAAAGAUCAAAUAAAUAUACGGGAAGUAUCAAAUAGGAGAACGGGCUCAAGUUCAUAAAAGGACUGAUCGGGUCGUUACAAUCUAUUGCUAGAAAAAAAAAUUGACCACUCACAGGAUCAGAAUUGGAGAAAAUCAAUGGAUUCUGAUGGGGAGUAGAUAGCUAAGGAAGCAACCAGUUUCUUUAAAGACUUAUUCACUCAACCACAUUACUAUAAUGAUCUCAGUAAUCUAGCUUGCAUUAACAAGUUGAUUACAGAUAAAGACAAUGAACUACUCACUACAAGGCUUAUAGAGAAGGAGAUUAAAGACAUAGUCUUUAACAUGAAUCCAGAUUCAGCUCCUGGACCUGAUGGAUAUACAACAACCUUCUUUAAAGAGGCAUGGGAUAUUAUUUCCUUGGAUCUUACUAAUCUAGCUUGCUAUUUGUUUUUUGCAAUUCAUGAACUACCUAAAUACGUCACUCGCACUUGCUUGAUUCUCAGAGCUGUCACACUUUCUUUUUACACCCGCGGGGUAUAAAAGGGAGUUUUUCCAAUUAAAGUGACAUUAUUCGAUAUGUGAUUAUUUUAUUUAUUUUUCAGAGUCGCCAUUUAAAAUAAUUUAUUUGGUAUUCCAAGUCACCGGUUUAUUUUAAAUCCCAAAUCGAGGAAAAUCUGACUUUAUUUAAAAAUCUGCGAAACCAAAAAAACUAGGUAAGGAAUUCUGUUAACCCGAGAGAAGGUGUUAGGCAUUUCCGGGUUUCGUAGUUCGAGCACAAUCGCUUAACUAUUAAUAAUUGGCCUAAUUAUCUGAUUUAUUAUAUGUUUUAAACCUAUUGUGCAUUUUUAACUUUAUUACCGCUUUUAAUUAUUUUAACCGCUUUGUAGGAUUUAUGGAAUUAUUUCUUGAACAAAUUACGAUUGUCGUACACUUGCCAUUUUGGAACACACCGCAAACCACGCUACAUGAAAUGCACUCACGAUUCGCGAUAUGUUUUUUUUUAUUAUUGUUCGAAGUUGUUAUGAUCGGAUCACAUAAAAUACACACCCGAAUUGGGAAUUAUGUAUCACGACUAUACCACGGGAACCAUACUCAUAGCUGUAAUAAUUUAAUUAUGCGCCUAAAGCAAACUACGCAUGUAAUGAUUGCAAACCUUCAUUAUAUGGCUACCUAGCACCAAUUACCCAAAGUCACGUUAGACUAGGUAUAAGUGAACAAAUAAUGCAAAUCCACGACUUUAAUAAAGUAAAUUUAUUUUUCCUUGGUGUUAAAAAGGAAACAACCAACACAAUAGCUUUUGACAUGUACAGGUAGGUUAAUAUUACAUAAGCAACAAAACAACAAUUUCAAAUCUAGGUGUGGCCUAAUUUGAAUUUUGCUCAAUAAAAAACAAUAAGUUGCAUCAAUUUAACUAAUAACCUAUUUGGUCAAGCUUCGUUUUGGCCAAAAGUGUUUUUUUUGGUAAAAAGUAUUUUUGGCCAAAAAUUGAGGUAUUUGACCAAGCUUUUUGGAAGGAAAAAAGUACUUUUGAGGAAAGCAAAAGCAGUUUUAGAGAAACAGAAAAAAGUAAUUUCUCUCCAAAAGCACUUUUUUGAGAAGCACUUUUGAGAAAAAUAUACUUAUAAGUAGUUUUUUAAAGCUUGGUCAAAUACUAAUUGCUGCUCAGAAGUGUUUUUCAAACUAAUUAGCCAAACACAAACUGUUUAUCACCAAAAAUACUUUUGAAAAAAGCACUUUUAAAAAAACACUUCUCAAAAUAAGCUGAUUUUUGUAGCUUGGCCAAACAGGUAUAAACCAUAUGACGAAACAGUAGAGUAAAGACAUGGGAAAGGAACUAGCUACAGAUAAAGGUAAAUGACACAUGUUACAAGCCAAAUACUAGUACUGGUUUUUUUUUGUGCCAUACUGCCAUACAUCAUAACAGAUGAAUCUUGGAGUUUCCUUUUUGAUAAUUUCUUAGUACUUUUAUCACUACUGUUUGAUCUGUACUAUUCUAUUUUCUCAAGUUUAGCUUUGUACUAAUAUAACGUAUUUUUUCAUUUGAUUUGUUGUUUGGUUGUCCACAAAUAUAUGAGCAAAAGGAAUGGAACAUUCAUUUCUAGAUUUUGUUUCGCUGCUGGUGGAAUAUGCUUAGUCGUUUUAGAAUCGCUGUAAGCUCAGUGAUUUUUUUUUUCUUUCUCAGUAGAGAUAUAUCACAAGGCAAGAUAGUAGAUUAGAAAUUAAUGUAGAAAAGUCAGUUUUCAAUUCGUAACUUCUUAAACAUUGCUCAGGAUCCAAGUUGCAACAGCAUUUAGGAAAGACAAACAUUUCAUUUGGGAUACAGAGAUUUUGAAAAUAUGAAAGCAGAAAACAUACCGAUCAGCUCUAUCGAACCCAAAUCUAGCACCAAAAAUAAAAUGCAACGGAAAGUUUUCUCUGGGUCACAUUGUUGAUAAAAUUCUUCAAUACUUCUAUGUUUCUUCUGAGAAUUUUUUCAGAUUCUUUGGCUAAGUGGGGAUAAGUAGAGUAUGAGAGGCAUGAAAAUGGGUCUAUAUUUUCAGGUCUCCUUCUUCCGUCUUUUCUGAAUGAGAGUCUGGUUUUUUGAGGGAGAAGAAGAGGGAAUGAGAAGAAAGGGGAAGCUGUGCUAGGUUUUUUUCAGCUAAAGGGGGAGGGUCCAAUUCUUUCAGAGAGGUCUGUUUGGAGGAGAUGAUGAUGAAGAAACCAGAAACGGCGCUAGGGUUGGGGUGUGUGUUUUACUGAAAAAGAAAACGAGUGAAAAAGGUGUCGGUGAUCAAAUCCCAAUCAAAAAAGUGGCGGCUAGACAUUCAGGGAAACGAGGCAUAAUGAAUAACUUUAAGCCACAAGAAGCAAUGUCAAAACCAACUAGAAUUCUUAGGAAUGAGACCAAAGAGCAAUGCGUCCCCUCUAAAAAUGAUGUACCCCUGGAAUAUAUGAGAGUUCUUAGCUAAAUUCCAGGAAAAUCACGUGAAAAGUGGAGGAGAUGGAUGUGCAUUGUGUUUUUUCGUUUUAGUAAGGUGGAAACGGCUGGGAGCUUUUUUUUUGCCUUAGGU